rnacentral:rRNA from 1 species
UUGUCUCAAAGAUUAAGCCAUGCAUGUCUCAGUACAAGCCGAAUUAAGGUGAAACCGCGAAAGGCUCAUUAAAUCAGUUAUGGUUCCUUAGAUCGUACCCACAUUUACUUGGAUAACUGUGGUAAUUCUAGAGCUAAUACAUGCAAACAGAGUUCCGACCGGAGACGGAAGGAGCGCUUUUAUUAGAUCAAAACCAAUCGUUGGCGAUUUACGUCGUCGUCGUACAACUUGGUGACUCUGAAUAACUUUAGGCUGAUCGCACGGUCUCGCACCGGCGACGCAUCUUUCAAAUGUCUGCCUUAUCAACUGUCGAUGGUAGGUUCUGCGCCUACCAUGGUUGUAACGGGUAACGGGGAAUCAGGGUUCGAUUCCGGAGAGGGAGCCUGAGAAACGGCUACCACAUCCAAGGAAGGCAGCAGGCGCGCAAAUUACCCACUCCCGGCACGGGGAGGUAGUGACGAAAAAUAACGAUACGGGACUCAUCCGAGGCCCCGUAAUCGGAAUGAGUACACUCUAAACCCUUUAACGAGGAUCAAUUGGAGGGCAAGUCUGGUGCCAGCAGCCGCGGUAAUUCCAGCUCCAAUAGCGUAUAUUAAAGUUGUUGCGGUUAAAAAGCUCGUAGUCGAAUCUGUGUCCCGCACCGCCGGUUCAUCGUUCGCGGUGUCAACUGGCGUGCCGCGGGACGUCCUGCCGGUGGGCUUAGCUCGAGAGGGCGGCCCAACUCAAUCCCGCCGCGGUGCUCUUCAUUGAGUGUCGAGGUGGGCCGGCACGUUUACUUUGAACAAAUUAGAGUGCUUAAAGCAGGCUAAAACUUCGCCUGAAUACUGUGUGCAUGGAAUAAUGGAAUAGGACCUCGGUUCUAUUUUGUUGGUUUUCUGAACCCCGAGGUAAUGAUUAAUAGGAACGGAUGGGGGCAUUCGUAUUGCGACGUUAGAGGUGAAAUUCUUGGAUCGUCGCAAGACGGACAGAAGCGAAAGCAUUUGCCAAAAACGCUUUCAUUGAUCAAGAACGAAAGUUAGAGGUUCGAAGGCGAUCAGAUACCGCCCUAGUUCUAACCAUAAACGAUGCCAGCUAGCGAUCCGCCGACGUUCCUCCGAUGACUCGGCGGGCAGCUUCCGGGAAACCAAAGCUUUUGGGUUCCGGGGGAAGUAUGGUUGCAAAGCUGAAACUUAAAGGAAUUGACGGAAGGGCACCACCAGGAGUGGAGCCUGCGGCUUAAUU